GACGAACGCUGGCGGCGUGGAUUAGGCAUGCAAGUCGAACGGUAUCAUCCUUUCGGGGGUGAGAGAGUGGCGAACUGGUGAGUAACACGUAGGUUAUCUACCCUCAAGACGGGACAACCCAGGGAAACUUGGGCUAAUACCGGAUGUGAGCAACUUUUAGUUGUUUGAGAGGUGGCGUAAGCUGUCGCUUGGGGAUGAGCCUGCGUCCUAUUAGUUAGUUGGUGAGGUAACGGCUCACCUAGGCAAUGAUAGGUAGGCGGCCUUAACGGGUGGUCGCCCACACUGGGAUUGAGAUACGGCCCAGACUCCUACGGGAGGCAGCAGUCGAGAAUAGUCUACAAUGGUCGGAAGACUGAUAGUGCGACGCCGCGUGAACGAUGAAUCCCUUCGGGGUGUAAAGUUCUUUUAUAUGUGAGCAGUGCUUCUUAUAUUAACAGUAUGGGGAGAGAGAUAUUAGCAUAUGAAUAAGCAACGGCUAACUCCGUG
rnacentral:rRNA from 1 species